ACCGCCUUGGUUCAAGGUUCGAAACGGUCCCGAAGAGCCAGGGGACUGCCUUGUCGGCCUUCCCCGUGGAGAUUAAGACUGCGCUGACUUGGGCCCGGCCUGGCAGGCGGAGCUGCGGGGAGGCAGAUGUGAAGACUGGGAGUGGGGUCUAGCGGCCCGAAAGGAGAGCGGGGCAGGAAGGUUGCGGGCGCAGUGGAGCCUGCCUCCCCUCACUCUUCCCGUAUCAGAUUCUAGAUGAAAGGAAUGUUUCCGGGCACUCCAAGAAAUCUCCAAUAUCUCUCCACUUAGAUAGUCCAUUUUCUACUAUCAGCAUGUCAUCUCCAAAAGAUUCUAGAUGAAGAGAAUGUUUCCUGCAAACCAAGAAAAUUUCUUUAUUAUCACUCCAUUGGGGUCACCAUUUUCUACUGUUAACUCAUCAUCUUCACCAAAAGAUUUUAGACAAAGGAAAUGUUUUCAAGAUCUCAGAAAUCAGAAAUAUCUUCCCAAUGGGGUCAUCAUUUUCCAUUGUCCAUUCAUCAUCUCCAACAGAUUCUAGAACAAUAUAAAUAUUUCCUAGCACUUUGAGAAAACUUUUCCAAUAUAUCCCUAUGGGGGUUACCAUUUUGUACUGUUUGCAUUUACUUUGUGAAAACUUGUCUCCAGUGGGGCAUCCGUUUCUAUUGUCAGCUCAUGGGCCUCACAACAGAUUCUAAUGAAGGGAAUGUUUCUAGGCAUUCAGAAAAAACUCUUCCAACAUACCCCCAACAUAUCCAACAUGGGGACACUGUUUUCUACUGUCAGCUCAUGAUCUUCUUCAGCAGAAUUCAGUUGAAGGGAAAGAACAGUUGGAAAAAAAUUUCUUCAAUAUCAUCUCAUUGGGGUCACCAUUUUCUACUGUCAGCUCAUCAUCUUUACCAAAAGAUUCUAGACAAAGGGAAUGUUUCCAAAGACUUAGAAGUCUUCUCCUAUAUCUCUUCAUUGUGAAUUGCCAUUUUCUACUGUCCAAUCAUCAUCUCCAAUAGACUAGACAAAGGGGAACGUUUUCUGGCACUCAAGAGAAAAAUUUUCCAACACGUCUCUGCUGAGUUAGAAUUUUCUACUGUCAGCUCCUUAACAAAUUCUAAAUGAGGGUAAUGUUUCUGGUACUCCAAAUGAAUCUGUUCCCUCUGGAGAUAUAAUUUUCUACUCUCAGCUCAUGGAUAAAACAAAUGUUUCCACAGUCUCCAAGAAAACUUCUCCAAUCUCUCCCCACUGGGGUUACCAUUUUUUUUUUGUCAGCUCAUCAUCUUCCCCAAAAGAUUUUCAAGGAAAGGAAUGUUUCUAGAGACUCAAGAGAAAUCUUCUCCUUUAUCUCCCUACUAGGGUCAAGAUUUUCUAAUGGCAGCUCUCAUUUUUUCCAACAGAUAAAGGGAAAUUUGUGCACACUACAAAAAAAUUUCCAUUUUCUUUCCACUGAGAUAACCAAUUUCUGCUGUCAACUCAUCACCUUUUCCAACAGUUUUUAGAUUGAAUGUUUACAGGCACUUUGGAAAAACUUUGACUUGGCCCCACCAUGUCACCAUCUUCUAUUGUCAGUUCUUCAUCUUUUCUGAAAGAUAAGGGAAUGUUUUCAAGCACUCUGAGAAAACUUCUCCAACAUGUCUCUGUUUUCUACUGUCAGCUCAUCAUUUUUUCCAAGAGAUUCUAAAUAAGGACAGUGUUUCCUGGUGCCCCAAUAAAAGUUCUCCAUCUUGGCACCACUUAAAUCAUCAGUUUUUAUUGUAAUCUUUUCAAAGAGAUUAUAAAUGAAGGGAAUGUUUCUAGAGACUUGAAGCAAUCUUCUCCAUCCUAUCCCCACCAAGGUCACCAUUUUCUACUAGCAACUCAUCACAUCUUCUCCAAAAGAUUCUAAAUAAAGCGAACAUUUCCUGCCACACCAAGAAAACAUCUCCAGCAUCUCCCCAUUGAGGUCACUAUUUUCUAUUCUCAGCUAAUUUUUUCCAACAAAUUCUAGAAAACAAAAGUGUUUCCAAGCACUCUCAGAAAAUUUCUCUAAUAGGUCUACACCUAAGUCCUUGGUUUCUAUUGUCAACUCAUAAUUUUCUCCAAAAGAUUUUAGAAGAAAGAAUGUUUCCAACUACUCAGAAAACUUCUCCAGCCUUUCCCACUGGGAUCACCAUUUCCCACUCUCAGUUCGUCAUCCUCCCCCAGAUUCUAGGUGAAAGGAAUGUUUUUCAGGAACUCAGAGAAAUUUUCUCAAAUAUUUCUCCACUGUGGGUCAUUUUUUUUACCUUCAGUUCAUGUUCUUUUCUCAUAGAUUCCAGAUGAGAAUAAUUGUUCAUAACACUCCAUUAAAAUUCUUAAAAAUA